GGAUAGCCUGCCCUUAGGUCUGGCAUAACCCCGGGAAACUGGGGAUAAUUCCGGAUAGAUCAUCGAUGCUGGAAUGCGCUUUGAUCCAAAGCUAUUGUGCCUAAGGAUGGGUCUGCGGUCUAUCAGGUCGUAGUGGGUGUAAUGUACCUACUAGCCUACGACGGAUACGGGUUGUGGGAGCAAGAGCCCGGAGAUGGAUUCUGAGACAUGAAUCCAGGCCCUACGGGGCGCAGCAGGCGCGAAAACUUUACAAUGCGGGGAACCGCGAUAAGGGGACACCGAGUGCCAGCAUCCUAUGUUGGCUGUCCAUAUGUCUAAAUCACAUGUGUUAGCAAGGGCCGGGCAAGACCGGUGCCAGCCGCCGCGGUAACACCGGCGGCCCGAGUGGUGGCCACUAUUAUUGGGUCUAAAGGGUCUGUAGCCGGCCGGAUAAGUCUCUUGAGAAAUCCAGCAGCUCAACUGUUGGGCUUUCAGGAGAUACUGUUCGGCUCGAGGCCGGGAGAGGUGAGAGGUACUUCAGGGGUAGGGGUGAAAUCUUGUAAUCCUUGAAGGACCACCAGUGGCGAAGGCGUCUCACCAGAACGGACCUGACGGCAAGGGACGAAAGCUAGGGGCACGAACCGGAUUAGAUACCCGGGUAGUCCUAGCCGUAAACGAUACUCGCUAGGUGUCGGCCACGGUGCGACCGUUGCCGGUGCCGUAGGGAAGCCGUGAAGCGAGCCACCUGGGAAGUACGGCCGCAAGGCUGAAACUUAA
rnacentral:rRNA from 1 species